rnacentral:rRNA from 1 species
GACGAAGCCCUGGGUCGCAAACGGGAUUAGAUACCCCGGUAGUCCAGGGUGUAAACGCUGCCGACUUGGUGUUGGAGGCCCUUCGGGGGCAUUCAGUGCCGGAGAGAAGUUGUUAAGUCGGCUACUUGGGGAGUACGUCCGCAAGGAUGAAACUUAAAGGAAUUGGCGGGGGAGCACCGCAACGGGAGGAGCGUGCGGUUUAAUUGGAUUCAACACCGGAAAACUCACCAAGGGCGACUAUCACAUGAAAGCCAGGCUAACGACCUUGCUUGAUUCUUAGAGAGGUGGUGCAUGGCCGUCGUCAGUUCGUACCGUAAGGCGUUCUCUUAAGUGAGAUAACGAACGAGACCCUC